CACAUUUUACAUCAGUUCCGGGGUAACCUUCGCUGUUGACCAGACCUUCCAGAACUUCAUCCUCCUUUCCAAAAGGACUCCAGACUACCCAUGGAUGCCUCUUCCUCUGCACGUCGUAGACGUCGUCACUCAUCUGUGUGACGUUCAUUUAACGCAGAGUGAUACUGAUAUUAUCGCCUCCGCGAAUAACUUCCCGGAGACACUGAUCGGCGCUGAGGAGCUUGAGCGGUUAAUGCGUGUAACUUUUGAAGACGGAGAUGCCCGUGCGGAUCUGUCGGCUGUGACUCCGAGAGCGAGUCUUCAAGACAGCGGCACCGAGG